UAUGUAUUAGACAUCUGUUUACUAAGUGAAGACGACAUCACUAUUAUUAGAGCACUCAUCUAUUGAAUAUCACUACAUAUAUCAAGUAUGUUCAAAACAUCCUACAUCCUUGUGAGCAAGUCAUAGCUAGAAAUUACUUUGGCUUGGU